GCAUUGGUGGUUCAGUGGUAGAAUUCUCAUCUUCCAUUUGAGAGACACAGGUUCGAUUUCUGACCAAUGUG
rnacentral:tRNA from 1 species